GCGCUCGUAGUUCAAUUGGAUAGAAUGCCAGACUACGAAUCUGGAGGUUGGGGGUUCGAGCCCCUCCGAGCGCG
rnacentral:tRNA from 1 species